UACAUGGGGUGCAAACGUUGCUCGGAAUUAUUGGGCGUAAAGCGCACGUAGGCGGUUCGUUAAGUCGGAUGUGAAAGCCCUCGGCUCAACUGAGGAAGUGCACCCGAAACUGGCGAGCUUGAGUACGAAAGAGGAUCGCGGAAUUCCCGGUGUAGAGGUGAAAUUCGUAGAUAUCGGGAGGAACACCGGUGGCGAAGGCGGCGAUCUGGGUCGAUACUGACGCUGAGGUGCGAAAGCGCGGGGAGCAAACAGG
rnacentral:rRNA from 1 species